rnacentral:tRNA from 1 species
GGGGCUGUAGCUCAGUUGGUUAGAGCAACGGACUCAUAACCCGUCGGUCCUGGGUUCAAGUCCCAGUGGCCCCA